UUAAGCGACUAAGCGUACACGGUGGAUGCCCUGGCAGUCAGAGGCGAUGAAGGACGUGCUAAUCUGCGAAAAGCGUCGGUAAGGUGAUAUGAACCGUUAUAACCGGCGAUGUCCGAAUGGGGAAACCCAGUGUGAUUCGUCACACUAUCGUUAACUGAAUACAUAGGUUAACGAGGCGAACCGGGGGAACUGAAACAUCUAAGUACCCCGAGGAAAAGAAAUCAACCGAGAUUCCCCCAGUAGCGGCGAGCGAACGGGGAGCAGCCCAGAGUCUGAAUCAGCUUGUGUGUUAGUGGAACGGUCUGGAAAGUCCGACGGUACAGGGUGAUAGUCCCGUACACCAAAAUGCACAGGCUGUGAACUCGAAGAGUAGGGCGGGACACGUGGUAUCCUGUCUGAAUAUGGGGGGACCAUCCUCCAAGGCUAAAUACUCCUGACUGACCGAUAGUGAACCAGUACCGUGAGGGAAAGGCGAAAAGAACCCCGGCGAGGGAAGUGAAAAAGAACCUGAAACCGUGUACGUACAAGCAGUGGGAGCACCUUCGGGUGUGACUGCGUACCUUUUGUAUAAUGGGUCAGCGACUUAUAUUCUGUAGCAAGGUUAACCGUAUAGGGGAGCCGCAGGGAAACCGAGUCUUAACUGGGCGUUAAGUUGCAGGGUAUAGACCCGAAACCCGGUGAUCUAGCCAUGGGCAGGUUGAAGGUUGGGUAACACUAACUGGAGGACCGAACCGACUAAUGUUGAAAAAUUAGCGGAUGACUUGUGGCUGGGGGUGAAAGGCCAAUCAAACCGGGAGAUAGCUGGUUCUCCCCGAAAGCUAUUUAGGUAGCGCCUCGUGAACUCAUCUUCGGGGGUAGAGCACUGUUUCGGCUAGGGGGUCAUCCCGACUUACCAACCCGAUGCAAACUACGAAUACCGAAGAAUGUUAUCACGGGAGACACACGGCGGGUGCUAACGUCCGUCGUGAAGAGGGAAACAACCCAGACCGCCAGCUAAGGUCCCAAAGUCAUGGUUAAGUGGGAAACGAUGUGGGAAGGCACAGACAGCCAGGAUGUUGGCUUAGAAGCAGCCAUCAUUUAAAGAAAGCGUAAUAGCUCACUGGUCGAGUCGGCCUGCGCGGAAGAUGUAACGGGGCUAAACCAUGCACCGAAGCUGCGGCAGCGACACUAUGUGUUGUUGGGUAGGGGAGCGUUCUGUAAGCCUGCGAAGGUGACCUGUGAGGGUUGCUGGAGGUAUCAGAAGUGCGAAUGCUGACAUAAGUAACGAUAAAGCGGGUGAAAAGCCCGCUCGCCGGAAGACCAAGGGUUCCUGUCCAACGUUAAUCGGGGCAGGGUGAGUCGACCCCUAAGGCGAGGCCGAAAGGCGUAGUCGAUGGGAAACAGGUUAAUAUUCCUGUACUUGGUGUUACUGCGAAGGGGGGACGGAGAAGGCUAUGUUAGCCGGGCGACGGUUGUCCCGGUUUAAGCAUGUAGGCUGGUUAUCCAGGCAAAUCCGGAUAAUCAAGGCUGAGGUGUGAUGACGAGGCACUACGGUGCUGAAGUAACAAAUGCCCUGCUUCCAGGAAAAGCCUCUAAGCAUCAGGUAACAUCAAAUCGUACCCCAAACCGACACAGGUGGUCAGGUAGAGAAUACCAAGGCGCUUGAGAGAACUCGGGUGAAGGAACUAGGCAAAAUGGUGCCGUAACUUCGGGAGAAGGCACGCUGGUGUGUAGGUGAAGCCCCUGCGGGUGGAGCUGAGACCAGUCGAAGAUACCAGCUGGCUGCAACUGUUUAUUAAAAACACAGCACUGUGCAAACACGAAAGUGGACGUAUACGGUGUGACGCCUGCCCGGUGCCGGAAGGUUAAUUGAUGGGGUUAUCCGUAAGGAGAAGCUCUUGAUCGAAGCCCCGGUAAACGGCGGCCGUAACUAUAACGGUCCUAAGGUAGCGAAAUUCCUUGUCGGGUAAGUUCCGACCUGCACGAAUGGCGUAAUGAUGGCCAGGCUGUCUCCACCCGAGACUCAGUGAAAUUGAACUCGCUGUGAAGAUGCAGUGUACCCGCGGCAAGACGGAAAGACCCCGUGAACCUUUACUAUAGCUUGACACUGAACAUUGAGCCUUGAUGUGUAGGAUAGGUGGGAGGCUUUGAAGCGUGGACGCCAGUCUGCGUGGAGCCAACCUUGAAAUACCACCCUUUAAUGUUUGAUGUUCUAACGUUGGCCCCUUACCGGGGUUGCGGACAGUGUCUGGUGGGUAGUUUGACUGGGGCGGUCUCCUCCCAAAGCGUAACGGAGGAGCACGAAGGUUAGCUAAUCCUGGUCGGACAUCAGGAGGUUAGUGCAAUGGCAUAAGCUAGCUUGACUGCGAGCGUGACGGCGCGAGCAGGUGCGAAAGCAGGUCAUAGUGAUCCGGUGGUUCUGAAUGGAAGGGCCAUCGCUCAACGGAUAAAAGGUACUCCGGGGAUAACAGGCUGAUACCGCCCAAGAGUUCAUAUCGACGGCGGUGUUUGGCACCUCGAUGUCGGCUCAUCACAUCCUGGGGCUGAAGUAGGUCCCAAGGGUAUGGCUGUUCGCCAUUUAAAGUGGUACGCGAGCUGGGUUUAGAACGUCGUGAGACAGUUCGGUCCCUAUCUGCCGUGGGCGCUGGAGAAUUGAGGGGGGCUGCUCCUAGUACGAGAGGACCGGAGUGGACGCAUCACUGGUGUUCGGGUUGUCAUGCCAAUGGCACUGCCCGGUAGCUAAAUGCGGAAGAGAUAAGUGCUGAAAGCAUCUAAGCACGAAACUUGCCCCGAGAUGAGUUCUCCCUGAGACUUUAAGUCUCCUGAAGGAACGUUGAAGACGACGACGUUGAUAGGCCGGGUGUGUAAGCGCAGCGAUGCGUUGAGCUAACCGGUACUAAUGAACCGUGAGGCUUAACCUU
rnacentral:rRNA from 1 species